CACCCGCCUACUUCACCCUUACGUCACUUCCUUGGUAACCUGGCCCUCCCAAGGCCCAUGGUGUGUCCUGAAGUUCCCGGUGAGAGGAAGGAUGAACCCCAGAAUUCCGGGACCAUUCCGCCAAAUUCAGAACAUCUGGUCACCCCAUCCAAGGCUGACUCUCCAUCCAUGAAUUCCACCCUCCCCCCAGGUUCUCCAGGAAAUUAAAAGCCACCUCUGCCUCCUUCCUUCUGAUGCCUGCUCACCCCCACCUGUCCUCAUCUCUCUCCUCCUCAGAGAGAAAAACAGAAAACAACGAGCAAAUAAAAUGGAAAAUGGACUUUA